AUAAUGGUAAUAAGAAGAAGAAUUCUGUUAUUUCUUUAUUUAGCUGCAGCAUCUUAAUGCAUUUGCUCCACUGCAUGAUCAUCCCUCCUUUGAUUUGGUGGUUAUUAACGUAAACGUAAUGUGAUUAAGGUCUUGCUCCUCGGGAGAGUGCGAGCACAGCAGAGGUUUUUCUGAACAGGAUCUGACACAGAAGCCUCUAACAGCUGUUUGAUUUCAUGUGUUCAUUAACUGUGUGUUGCCGUGCAUGCUAAUGCUCCUCGGGGUUCAGCGUUCUGCUUACGUAACUGUGUGAUGUUGUCCUGUCAGCUCUGCUCGUCCUCAGCGCUCCUGACCUCUCACGUUUAUCAUUAGAGUGUGUUUGUGUGAAUGCAGUGUACUUUGACAUUUCUUAACCCCUGUCCUUCUCUCUUAGAUCACUUCGAGAUGUCAGAGAGCGACCGGGGAAAGCGUUUGGACCUCAGCGAUUAUGGUGAAGGCAAUCCCAUAAUGCACUGCGACAAGCUCAGUGAAACAAAAUCAACUAAGAUGAAAGCAGGAUUGCUCAGUAGGCUUUUCCACGGUGCUGAGAAAUGAAGUGAAUGGAGUUUAAGCAAACAGAGUCAGGUCUGCCUGCAGCAUUAUCCCAGCCCCCUAAACCCCGUCCCGUCCCGUGACCCUCGGCUUCUCCACCAACCAGCAAGAAAAGAGCAAACUGAGUUCAGUUCUCUGGACGGCCCUGCAAUCCAAGCAAUGGCAGAGCAGAGCUGAGAAAUGCAGAAAGUGCUGACCUUUACCUCCAUCACUGCACACCGUGGAGAAAUAUUCCAGCUCAGAAGGCCAUUACAAACCUGCAGGAGUUAAGCACAGAAAGAAAGAACUUGUAGGAACAUUAUGGACUAUUCGAUUACAAACUUGCCAAAGAAGGUCAAACGGAGCUGAUUUUCUGGCCACCAUUGCCUCUGUCUUUAAAUUAUAUCUAGAAAAGUUCACUCUGUUCCUCAAGCAGUAGGUGUGCUUUUGUGUCUUGACAAGUGUGAUGGUGAAUCGCUUCUUCAAAGCCUGAAGUCCCAGAGCUUAUUUUAUCUUUUAUUUUAUUAUUUUAGUUUAUUUUUUAUUAUUUAAAUUUACUUGAAAUAAGAAUUGUAUUAUUUCUACUUCAUUUGCCUUUGAGUAUAUUUGCAGUAAAAUCUGUUUUCUUGUUUUUAGAUCUUUCUGUAUCUAUUUUUUUUUGUCUUUUUCCUUUUUAUUUAUUUUUUCUCUUAUUGUUUUAUUUUAUUUUAUACAGGUAAAUUAAUGUUUAAUUAAUUGUAGGGCUUGUAGAAUCUAUCUUUCUAAAUGUUAUAUUUUAUAUUUAUAUAUAUUGCAGUGUAACAU
ensembl:lncRNA